UACGUAGGGGGGCAAGCGUUGUCCGGAAUCAUUGGGCGUAAAGCGCGCGUAGGCGGACCUGCAAGUCGGGGGUGAAAGCCCGAGGCUCAACCUCGGAACUGCCUUCGAUACUGCGGGUCUCGAGUCCGGGAGAGGUGAGUGGAAUUCCUAGUGUAGAGGUGAAAUUCGUAGAUAUUAGGAAGAACACCAGUGGCGAAGGCGGCUCACUGGCCCCGGUACUGACGCUGAGGCGCGAAAGCGUGGGGAGCAAACAGG
rnacentral:rRNA from 1 species